AUACGGAGGGUGCAAGCGUUAAUCGGAAUUACUGGGCGUAAAGCGCACGCAGGCGGCUUUUUAAGUCGGAUGUGAAAGCCCCGGGCUCAACCUGGGAAUUGCAUCUGAUACUGGGAAGCUAGAGUAUGUGAGAGGGGGGUAGAAUUCCAAGUGUAGCGGUGAAAUGCGUAGAGAUUUGGAGGAAUACCAGUGGCGAAGGCGGCCCCCUGGCACAAUACUGACGCUCAGGUGCGAAAGCGUGGGGAGCAAACAGGAUUAGAUACCCUGGUAGUCCACGCCGUAAACGAUGUCUACUAGCUGUUCGCGGCCUUGUGUUGUGAGUAGCGCAGCUAACGCAUUAAGUAGACCGCCUGGGGAGUACGGUCGCAAGAUUAAA
rnacentral:rRNA from 1 species